UUGAAUUUUGAACAACCAAGAAUUAUUUGGGAAUGAGGUAUUAGCUUCAAAUGACCCUCAACAUGAGUCUUAGAUGCUGAUAGAAGUCACCCAAUGAAAUAGGUUAAACGUUUUUAAAGGAGACAAAGAAACUUAACACUGCUAUAAUUAUUAUUAGUGGGAGCAUGACCUCAUAAAUACUUGUAUUCGAUAUCAUUGUUGAAAGCUCUUUAACAUCACUUUGAAAAGCAAUUCAGAAAGCAAUUGGGUGGAGGAGAUUAUUACAGGAUGAACUAAGAAGAAACUUGCCUAAUAUUAUGCAAAUAGGCAUAUCUGAUUUAGGAUAAAUUCUUUAAUAGCAUCAUGCAUGGAUUUCAAAAGUGCUCUGUUUCAAAAAUCUACUUGAGAAGAAGAUGAUGUAAUCUGAAAAACUGAUGGAUGAAUCCAAGAAACAAGUACUAACUAAAUACUCUUCAGGAUGAUGGACCACAUUAACCUUCUCUCUACCAAGUACACUUUUUCUUUAUUUGUGCUCUCACCAAUAUUAAAACAGCAGUAAUCUGGCAGUCAGUACUCAGAAGUACAUCCAGAGAAACACUGUGUGCUUUUAGGAUAAGCUUCUGCAGAUAACCAGAGUGCCCUGUGGCUUGUUGGCUUGGCCCUGAAUCUCUCCCUUUCGUAUUGCCUUCACUGAUACUUCAUGACAAGAAGAGCCAGCUCUGCAGGUGAAUAUAAGACAUUAAUCCAUGUGCCUGUGCUCCCUGGGAGUGUGGAAUGGGAGAACUGAAAAGCACCAGGGACAUCCUGAUCUCUGAAGAUACCAACCUCUACCCUUUGGGUGGAAAAUAAAAUGAUCUCUGACCCAUUGUGCAGCUCUCUGAAGAAACUGGCUGCCAAGCUAUCGAGAGCGCCUGGAUGUUCUCUGAACGUUGGGUUGGCACUGUUUCACCAUCCAUGUCAGAGAGGGGAGACAGAGAGUAGUAUGUAAGCAAUCUGUAAUUAAUUGUACAUUAUAAACUUGCAGAAUGGUAGUGCUGGGAUGGACUUUAGCAGUCAUCUGGUCUAGACAUUCUCAAUGGCUGGGCUGUAGAUCAUGUUUCAGAAUCAUUCAGGAAGAUUUUUAAUCAUGCAGAGGCCAGGUCCUACCCCUGGAGAUGCUGACUUAAUAGGUCUCUGGUAGGGUCAGAGCAUUUGUACGCUAAGGAGAUGCCCACUAAAAGAAAUUCAUGCCCUGGCCGGGGGCUCAGUUCUCAGUUGGUUGGAGCGUCGUUCUGGACACCAAAAGGUUGAGAAUCAAUAAGAACACAUCCUCGGGAGUGGAUUAAAAAAAAUUAAGUACUAAUCAUUUGUGUCUGGUUAUUGUUAUACAUGCCAUUUCUUAUGUGUGUAUUUUUGAAAUUUUUCAGCAGUUUGAAUAAUGUUAGAAGGAAUAUCAGAAUUAGAAUAUCAUCACUCUGUAACCCCUAAUGAGUCAACGGAUGUAGGCAAUGGUUGUCAAUAGCAAUAGAUCUAGACAAUGAAUAAUACAUAAGAAUAUUGAUGCGAUGUGAAAUACUAUGGAUGAGUGAAUACUUUAAGCUGUUGUCCCAAAAAAAGAUGCCCAGGUGAUUUCAAUGACUGGUCCAAGUUGAGAACAUUAAUCUUCCUUCUCUUCAUUAUUCAUAUGAGAAAGAGUUAAGUCAUGGAGCAGAUACCAAAAUAAAGCACCCACUCAGAGACCCAAACAUCUUUUAUCAUGUGAGGUCUUUCCUCCCUCUUAGACUGUACUGAAGUGUUUAAAGAAAAAACAACCAGCAUAUGAAUCCUAGCAAGAUAUGCUUUGCCUCAAUUUCCUCUGUCUCAAUUUUGGUAGUUCCUAUAGACCAUUUUGGUCAAUAAAAUAUUGUAUCUUGCUGUAUCAUUACCUGCCAAGUGGAGAGAAAAAAUAAGGUAGUUAAUGUAAUUACUGUCCCUACAGUAAUAGUCCAUAUAUUAUCUGUCUAAUCUUCUAAAGAACUGGGUGGUACAGAGGGUGGCAGAUGUAAUAUUCCAAAGACCAGCGUUUUAGAAAGGUGACUUUAUUACCGAUCUAGGUAGUGGAGGAAGUUGAGAAGUGGGAGGGGAAUGGUAGGAAAAACACUUUAAGGAAUCUAGGGCUCUCAGAACCUUAAGGGAGGUAAUGCUGAAGCAAUUGAAAGGCUUGGAGCUGAAAUACUUGGUUCAAACCGUGGGUUUCCUCUUACUACAAGUAGACUUUGGAAAAGCCACUUAACCUUCCUGAGCCUCAGUUUCCUCUGAUGUAGCAGGCUACAUUCACAGAUUGUUGUGAAGAUUAAAUAGAGUGACAUAAAUGAAAGAUUAUUUGUAAACUCUACAACACUAGGUAAAUGUAAGGGGCCAUUACCUAGGCUCAUUCACUCUGCCAAUGAACUAGGUCUGUCUUUGACAGUGGCCAAAUCCAGGAAUGUGGAAAGAAGCAUUUAGCUUUCUUGCAGAUGGGUGGUUCUCCCUGAAUCUAGAUUGUAGCAUCAUUUCUAUCUCUGGCUAGAGAAUCCAUGAUGUCUUUUUAGACCAAAUAACUUACUUUCUAUUUAUUCUCUUG